rnacentral:lncRNA from 1 species
AGGGAUCUUUGGUUGGAGAUUCCUCUUUGAUGAAGCUUUAUCCUGCAAACCUAGACUCUUCUGAAACAGGAAUCAUGGCAUAUUAGCUGAUCUGAAGCAGAGCUACAGGAUUUUUCAUCUGGUCCAUGUUGUUUUUUCCAUGUGGCAGCAUUAGAGGAAGGCUACAACUCAGCCGUGCCAUUAACCCAGUUCUGCUGAGCUUUGGUCCAGUGCUCCAGCCUUCAAAGCCAUCCUUUCUGCUUGAGGACAGAGAUUCCGGAGACAAGCUCUUGAAACGACACGGCACACAAGGAGAACAGCAAAUGUGAUAGAGACUGGCAUGGCAUAAAUGUUAAAUACCAUCAAAAAUAUUCAUUAGUAGUGUGUAAAAGUAUAGAACCAGCCAAUCUGUGCAUGCCCACAGAUCUGCUAUUGCUGGUCAGUUGGAGUCCCAGAGAAGUCAGCAUUACAAGCCCUAACGCUCCGUGCGUAACGCUGCAGUGGGGCUGGAUGCACUAAUUACAU